UUGGAUCCAGACUUUGAUUAUGGCUCAGGAUGAACGCUAGCUACAGGCUUAACACAUGCAGGUCGAGGGGAAACGAUAGAGAAAGCUUGCUUUUUCUAGGCGUCGACCGGCGCACGGGUGAGUAACGCGUAUCCAACCUGCCCACCACUUGGGAAUAACCUUGCGAAAGUAAGACUAAUACCCAAUGAUAUCUCUAGAAGACAUCUGAAAGAGAUUAAAGAUUUAUCGGUGAUGGAUGGGGAUGCGUCUGAUUAGCUUGUUGGCGGGGUAACGGCCCACCAAGGCGACGAUCAGUAGGGGUUCUGAGAGGAAGGUCCCCCACAUUGGAACUGAGACACGGUCCAAACUCCUACGGGAGGCAGCAGUGAGGAAUAUUGGUCAAUGGGCGAGAGCCUGAACCAGCCAAGUAGCGUGCAGGAUGACGGCCCUAUGGGUUGUAAACUGCUUUUAUAAGGGAAUAAAGUGAGAGUCGUGAGACUUUUUGCAUGUACCUUAUGAAUAAGGACCGGCUAAUUCCGUGCCAGCAGCCGCGGUAAUACGGAAGGUCCGGGCGUUAUCCGGAUUUAUUGGGUUUAAAGGGAGCGUAGGCCGGAGAUUAAGCGUGUUGUGAAAUGUAGACGCUCAACGUCUGCACUGCAGCGCGAACUGGUUUCCUUGAGUACGCACAAAGUGGGCGGAAUUCGUGGUGUAGCGGUGAAAUGCUUAGAUAUCACGAAGAACUCCGAUUGCGAAGGCAGCUCACUGGAGCGCAACUGACGCUGAAGCUCGAAAGUGCGGGUAUCGAACAGGAUUAGAUACCCUGGUAGUCCGCACGGUAAACGAUGGAUGCCCGCUGUUGGUCUGAAUAGGUCAGCGGCCAAGCGAAAGCAUUAAGCAUCCCACCUGGGGAGUACGCCGGCAACGGUGCAACUCAAAGGAA
rnacentral:rRNA from 1 species